AUAGAAAAGUUAAGAAGGGCACUGAAAAUCCUUGUGUCGGCAGUUCAAUUCUGCCUCUGGCCACCA
rnacentral:tRNA from 1 species